rnacentral:tRNA from 1 species
GCCUAGCUGGCUCAUUUGGUAGAGAAUGUGACUCUUGAUCUCAGGGUCAUGAGUUUGAGCCCCAUGUUGGGUU